rnacentral:rRNA from 1 species
AGUAGCAUAUGCUUGUCUCAAAGCUUAAGCCAUGCAAGUCUAAGUUCAGGCUUGUUCCUUUCGGGGAGCGAGCCGAAACUGCGAACGGCUCAUUAGUCAGAUAAGGUUCCUUGGCGAAAAGCGGGUCGGUUUAAUGGAUAACUGUGGUAAUUCUAGAGCUAAUACAUGCAACGCACCGUGGUCCCCCCUUUCGUUUCUCGACGAGGCGGGGAAACGGCAUUUAUUCUCUAUACCAGAUCGCCCUAGCCUGCGAAGCUACCGUCAAAAGUAGCGACGGGGCGAAGCGACAAGUGUUGAAAUCCGAAUAACUGUGCCGAUCGCGGGGUCUUUCCGGGCCCCCGACGACUUUGCCAUGAAGUGUCUGUCCCAUCAAUUGGCGAUGGUCGGCGACCUGCCUACCACGGUGUUGACGGGUAACGGGGAAUCAGGGUUCGAUUCCGGAGAGGGAGCCUGCGAAACGGCUACCACCUCCAAGGAGGGCAGCAGGCGCGCAACUUACCCAAUCCCGACACGGGGAGGUAGUGACGAAAAAUAACGUGGCGGGGCCCUUUAGUGGUCGCCGCGGGCGGAAUGAGCGCAAUUUAAAAGAGUGUGCGAGGAUCCAUUGGAGG